CUACGGGAGGCAGCAGUUGGGAAUUUUGCACAAUGGGCGAAAGCCUGAUGCAGCAACACUGCGUGAAGGAUGAAGGUUUUCGGAUCGUAAACUUCUUUUAUCUGGGAAUAAUCUUGAAGGUACCAGAUGAAUAAGCACCGGCUAACUACGUGCCAGCAGCCGCGGUAAUACGUAGGGUGCAAACGUUAUCCGGAUUUAUUGGGCGUAAAGAGCUCGUAGGUGGUUUUGUAAGUCUGAUAUUAAAGACCCAGGCUCAACCUGGGGAAAGUAUUGGAAACUGCAAAACUUGAGGUAUGCAGGGGCAGAUGGAACACAAGGUGUAGCAGUGAAAUGCGUAGAUAUCUUGUGGAACGCCAAUGGUGAAGACAGUCUGCUGGGCAUUCACCUGACACUGAGGAGCGAAAGCGUGGGGAGCGAACGGGAUUAGAUACCCCGGUAGG
rnacentral:rRNA from 1 species